CAAGAUCUCACUUUUCAUCUGACCAAAAGAUCCAACUGACAAUACCAAAUAAGCUAGACAAUUUUGUCUCCUCAAACUUAAUCCGGUACCAACAGAUCACCAAAUGUUCUUGCAAGUCCAUCACUUGAUGCACAAGUCGCCAAUCGCACCAUGCGAUACCAACCAUCGGUGAUACCCAACACCUGUCUCCACAAGACCCUGUCGCUGUCGUCCUACCAUGGACCCUAGCGAUCGAUGUCCCGAGCAAUACCAAAUGCCUGUCUCAUUGAGACCUAGGCGCCCCUGUCAUCAAAUGACCGGACAAGCAUGCUAACCCAAGGUUUGCACGAUAAGCCAAGUCGCAAACCUUAUUCGCUAUCACAUAUGGUGACAAUCAAAGCCGACAACCAGGCUCAAGUCACUCUACAAUUGUGAUUCCAAAUCUCACGACGACAAACCAAGACUACUAACCGAACAAACUUUUAAACUGUGGGAAGCACAACUAAAGAGCUACGAACACCCAGACUCGAACUAGAGUCAAAACCCUUUUAUCAGUGACGAUAAGUCCACUGUGCAAAGCCUGCCAAGGAAUAACCCAAGUCUCGCUACGUAGUCAAAGAUGACUAUCACUCGAGCUUUUCCCACAAAACAGUCUAGAGAACACAUCGACCCAAUCCAGAAGUCCCAAACAGGGUAAAUGGUAUUUCGUCCCUCUUUCGACAGUAUAUUGUCUGCAGCCAAUAUACUUAUCAAAAGAAAAGCGAAAUAUCCGAAAAUCCACUACCAACAACGAGUUGGAAGUGUGACACGUCGAAGUAUCAAGCCACCUGAUACCUCUUCACUGAACCAGAAGCUCACAACCAAUACUAUCGAAACAUCGACUUUACAAGUCGACAUUCGAAAUUAGAAUGACCCUGGAAUAUCUCGAAUCUAGACGAAACCUAUUACCAACUACAACUAACCCACAACACACCAAUUUAGGUGUUAGAAUAAUCGCAUACGAUGUAUGCCUUAACGAAAACUUGACACCAAUCUGUGUCAAUCUGACCCUAGUAGGAAGAAUGAACGAGGUAAAGGUCGAAAGAUCCGAACCGCUGAUUCCAAUCAGCAAUCAAGGAGGAUAGGUAGGCAUCGCAACCCUACCCAAAGGUCUGCGGAAGCAACACUAACAAUGCAGUCGCUGAAACGACCGCUAUCCAAACCCUGGGCUACACCCUAGUAGCCCCACUGAAGUCGCGACCAUAACUGGUCCAAGCACCGUCUCCGUAGAGACACUCGCAACAGCUCUCGUGUCCUAAGUAGAGAGAGUGGCCUGGGCGUCGGCAAUUAUGACACUCGCCUAGGCCCGAAGAUCACCUAGCCCUUCAAGGCCCACCUGACAGGAGUGGCAACAUCUGGGGAACGUCGCCCUACCACUCGAUGUCCGAAUAAGUACACCGCCACUACUCCCGAUUUAGACACCAGCUUGUGCGAAUCGUAACACAUACAGAAACCAUGCACUUCGAGUUUACCGACUCGAAUGCAAUCCUGGACACAAGUCCAAACCCCGCACUCACGUGCCUAUACACCGUAGGUCUUCCUAAGGAUCAACCUAACCAAUGGUUCAGUUUCUUUGGUUCAGUUCAUUUACUUUUCAAAACAACCUGUGAAUGGUGUUGUGGUUGUAACCUGGCUCUGAUACCACUUUAAUCUGUCACGCCCCGGGGUCCUUUUAUUUGUUCAAAAGCACAGCGGAAAAUUAGCUAUAAAUUUUUUUUUGAAAACCUGACCCCAGAGUGCCAGAUCCGCCACAAACACAGGGAAUCCACUGUUCCCACGGACAGAAUCUCCCCUGUAUUUGCACGGCGUCGCACAAGUACAACAGAGUAUAGAUACACACACAACCACAACCAGAUGAACAAGAGAGAUAACAUUCAUCCAUUCCAUUCACACACACAGAUAUGAUACUUGAGUUAUGAAAACAUUCCACAUCUAUCAGUUAAAAUGUUUCCUACCUGGAAACUGAUUUUGAAAUACUAAAUCCAUAAAAACCACAGAAAAUUUAAUUUGAAAACUGUUCCCCACACGGGAACCAUUCUUUUUCAAAACCAGCUACCACGAGGGGUAGAAAACUGUUUUAUUUCGAGAAAACACCAAUCUUUUAGUUCAUUCCAAAACCCGUUGAAAAUCCAGAUAAUAAAACAGAACUGAACCAUGUAAACCGACUAAGCUAUAUAUAUCAUCAGAAGUAAUAAAGGGUAAUAGCUAAAUCGAAAUAACCUGGGUCGGAAGCUCUAUCGACCGCUACACACGUACCUCACGUCUCGUCCCACUACUCAUCGCCUGCGAUACCUGAAAAAUGGUGGGGGAGGUGAGACGGCGGCCGGAGGAGGUCGGGACGGGGACGAACCGGCGGCGGAGGUCGAGGGUAAGGCGGCGCACCCCUCGGUGGGCGGCGGCGAAACGUGGAAGCCGAGCGGGCCCAACCUCGGCCCGCACAGGUCUGGGCGGCCGCAGGUUGUCCCAGCGGCGGCCGGCGGCGCGCGGGGACGGCGGGGGAACGAGCGCGCCGGGUUGCCGGAGGUUGCCGGGGCCGACAGGAGGGCGGCGCGGCCGAGGGGAGGCGUCGGCGGCUCGGGGAUACCGAGAUCACCCAGGCUCGGCCUGGGUGACGCAGGUGGCCGCAGGGAGCCUGGACGGCGGCCGGCGGCGCGCGGGGACGACGGGGGACGGCGGGGAAGGGCGCCGGAGCUUGGUCUCGGCCUGGGGGAGAUGGUGCUCGGGCUUUGACGUUCCCCCGAGCACAACGAUCGAAGACGCGGCUUGUCCGGGCUAGAGGGGAAUCGAGAGAUGACCGGGGUGCCUUUUUCGGCGGCCGGAGCUGCUCGUCGGCGGCUGGGGCGUGCGCACUGAUUGGGCAGGGAGGAGACGGGGCGGCUAGGGUUAGUCAGGUGAUUAUGGCAGCCAAAAGAAUAAUGGGAAACCCUAGAUGCCCGAUUUAUGCCAAGUGUCACUUUGCGAGGAACCCCUCCAAAGUCUAUUAUUUACAAUCCAGCCCCCUGCCAGCAAGUGAAUUAUGCACACAAGACCCUCCACAUUCGAUAUCACGUGAAAUGACACAUAAAAUAUAGGGUCUUUCCGCGAUUUAUCCGUUUAGCCGCUUUGACCCCUCAGCGAACAUUUGCAAUAUCCGGCAAUCCGUUCAUCGGAUUUCCGAACGGAUCGCACCAUCGCGUUCAGCACAACGAGGGCAUCCAAACUACCAUCUUGUUUCGUCAGAUUUGGUCACGGAUUCGCGACGGAACCCAUCCGCUCUCUAAUUAAUCCGUAUAUCGCACAUAUACCCAAGCAUAAACUCUAAAACCUUUAAUUCAAAUUCAAAUUUGAAUUCCCUACCACCAGUAGGUAUCAGAAACAACUCUCACCUAACCCCAGGUCACAAGCACAGAGCACGCGGAGCUUUAAAACGCACGAAUAGCAAAGAGCGGGAACCCUCUUUUUGAUAAAAUCCCUUUUUCUCGAUAACCGUGCAUCAGAAUCCGAUUCUGUCAGCGCCAAUGGUUCCAGUAUAGUCGAGAGGUUCGAAACGAGCUAUUGGACCACUAUGUUCGGAGGUCUGUACGCGCCAGAGGCCAAGUUUGCUUCGUGGCUUCUCCGGAAAACCGGAGUUACUAUUCACUUAAGUCGAACUUCCGGGUCUCAUAACUUCUCCACUUUAGCUCGGUUUUGCCUGAAAUUUGACGUGUGCUUAUGUAAUUAAAUUACACACAUAAACAUCGUCAACAGAGAGUCUAAUUGCACUGUCAAAAUCUCAGUCCUUACAUUAUCCCCCCCUUAAAAGAAGUUUCGUCCCCGAAACUUAACUACAUACCCACCGAACUCCGACUAUCCAACAACGUCAACCUGCUCACCAAGAGUGAAUACGAAACGUUGUUCUAAAAUCCAAGUCAACGUCACUCACAUCGGAGACCACGAGUAACCACACAAACUACCAAACCUUCAACAAAGGAUAGUCACUUACGACACUCUAUAGUCCUAGGUCCAAGAUCUCACUUUUCAUCUGACCAAAAGAUCCAACUGACAAUACCAAAUAAGCUAGACAAUUUUGUCUCCUCAAACUUAAUCCGGUACCAACAGAUCACCAAAUGUUCUUGCAAGUCCAUCACUUGAUGCACAAGUCGCCAAUCGCACCAUGCGAUACCAACCAUCGGUGAUACCCAACACCUGUCUCCACAAGACCCUGUCGCUGUCGUCCUACCAUGGACCCUAGCGAUCGAUGUCCCGAGCAAUACCAAAUGCCUGUCUCAUUGAGACCUAGGCGCCCCUGUCAUCAAAUGACCGGACAAGCAUGCUAACCCAAGGUUUGCACG
rnacentral:lncRNA from 1 species